rnacentral:rRNA from 1 species
CCCGCACAAGCGGUGGAGUAUGUGGUUUAAUUCGAUGCAACGCGAAGAACCUUACCUGGCCUUGACAUCCCGGGAAUUUCCUGGAAACAGGAGAGUGCUUUCAUUAGAGAGAACCUGGAGACAGGUGCUGCAUGGUUGUCGUCAGCUCGUGUCGUGAGAUGUUGGGUUAAGUCCCGCAACGAGCGCAACCCUUGCCUUUAGUUGCCAGCAGUUCGGCUGGGCACUCUAAAGGGACUGCCGGUGUCAAACCGGAGGAAGGUGGGGAUGACGUCAAGUCCUCAUGGCCUUUAUGGCCAGGGCUACACACGUACUACAAUGGCCGGUACAAAGGGCAGCGACAUUGCGAGAUGGAGCGAAUCCCGAAAAGCCGGUCUCAGUCCGGAUUGGAGUCUGCAACUCGACUCCAUGAAGUUGGAAUCGCUAGUAAUCGUGGAUCAGCAUGCCACGGUGAAUACGUUCCCGGGCCUU